AUCUAUCACUCUGUCUUUUUUUCUCCCAUUCUAUCAGUCUAUCUCUGUCUUUCCUUUUUCUUCUCCACCCAUCAGAUUAAUAAAGCUGCAGUAGGAUUCAAACAAUUGGAUCUAAACACAGUUGCACUGGAACAAUGAAGUGAGAGACACUCCAGGAGCGGGAGCUGGAGAAAAGGAGCAGGUGGUCCAGGCGUUAGUCCAGCAAGCAAUCGAUCACUGGUUCAAAUGCCUGAGAAGGCAAGUCUACUGUUAGCAUCCAUCCAUCCGCAAAUCUAGCCAGCCAAUUCAUCUAUGGCCUUCGGCACCAUUACCGUGAUAGAACACAGCACACAUCGAAACAUGAAGAUAUUCUGGCGUGAAGGGUGGUUUGAGGCUUCCUACUCUGACCGGUUCAUAGGUCUGUGUAGCAUGGUCUCCCCUCCCCUAGGGCGGGUAGCUCCUCCCCCUUCCUAAAGGACAGGACAGUUUGAACCAAGAGGAGGGUAAAGUGGGAGGAGAGAGAAG